CCUACGGGAGGCAGCAGUAGGGAAUAUUGCUCAAUGGGGGAAACCCUGAAGCAGCAACGCCGCGUGGAGGAUGAAGGUAUUCGGUGUGUAAACUCCUUUUGUUAGAGAAGAUAAUGACGGUAUCUAACGAAUAAGCACCGGCUAACUCCGUGCCAGCAGCCGCGGUAAUACGGAGGGUGCAAGCGUUACCCGGAUGCACUGGGCGUAAAGAGCGCGUAGGCGGGAGAGCAAGUCAGAUGUGAAAUCCUAUGGCUUAACCAUAGGACUGCAUUUGAAACUGUUAUUCUAGAGUAUAGGAGAGGUAAGUGGAAUUCUUGGUGUAGCGGUGAAAUGCGUAGAGAUCAGGAGGAAUAC
rnacentral:rRNA from 1 species